rnacentral:lncRNA from 1 species
AACCUAUAAUCCAUUUUUUUGCGAGAAAGAGAUGCAAACGGUGGUAGCACAGUACAUCUUGAUUUUAUAAUAAAGUCCCUGGGUAAAGCAAAAAUUACAGCAAGAACCUUACUGUUUAUCUUCCUCCUCAAGACCGAGCGCUGACGCCAGAUCCGAGAUCGCGAGGUUGCACGAGGGAUCUUAAAGCCACCAAACUCACCUGUCCAAAUCGAAGGGCGAACUCCAAACAUUGGCAAACUACAAGAGAUUCUCGGUAAAAGAGCAUGAGCUAUCGGCCACUUCGAUUUGGCCCCAUCAGCCUUCAUCCUCCAUGGAUGUGAAGCAUCCAAACCUAGAAGAACUAGAGCGCAGCACAAGCUUCCCCAGAACAAGCACCAGCACCUCCGUUGAAAAGGGCAACCC